CGGGAAAAGCUCAAAUUUAAAAUCUGGCGGUCUCCGGCCGUCCGAGUUGUAAUCUGGAGAAGCGUUUUCCGCGUUGGACCGUGUACAAGUCUUCUGGAAUGGAGCGUCAUAGAGGGUGAGAAUCCCGUC
rnacentral:rRNA from 2 species